GCCAGACUCCUACGGGAGGCAGCAGUGGGGAAUAUUGCACAAUGGGGGAAACCCUGAUGCAGCGACGCCGCGUGAGCGAUGAAGUAUUUCGGUAUGUAAAGCUCUAUCAGCAGGGAAGAAAAUGACGGUACCUGACUAAGAAGCCCCGGCUAACUACGUGCCAGCAGCCGCGGUAAUACGUAGGGGGCAAGCGUUAUCCGGAUUUACUGGGUGUAAAGGGAGCGUAGACGGCUGUGCAAGCCAGAUGUGAAAGCCCGGGGCUCAACCCUGGGACUGCUCUGGAAACUGUAAAGCUGGAGUGCGGGAGGGGCAGGCGGAAUUCCUGGUGUAGCGGUGAAAUGCGUAGAUAUCAGGAGGAACACCGGCGGCGAAGGCGGCCUGCUGGACCGUAACUGACGUUGAGGCUCGAAAGCGUGGGGAGCAAACAGGAUUAGAUACCCGGGUACA
rnacentral:rRNA from 1 species